UACGUAGGGUGCAAGCGUUAAUCGGAAUUACUGGGCGUAAAGCGUGCGCAGGCGGUGAUGUAAGACAGGUGUGAAAUCCCCGGGCUUAACCUGGGAACUGCAUUUGUGACUGCAUCGCUGGAGUGCGGCAGAGGGGGAUGGAAUUCCGCGUGUAGCAGUGAAAUGCGUAGAUAUGCGGAGGAACACCGAUGGCGAAGGCAAUCCCCUGGACCUGUACUGACGCUCAUGCACGAAAGCGUGGGGAGCAAACGAGG
rnacentral:rRNA from 1 species